UUUAAGACUAAAUUAAAUUACUCGCUUGGAUAAAACACAAUAAGCAGUUGAAACUUAGCAAGGGUUUGAGAAGUAUUUUCCCUUAUGGGAUAUUACAGACCAGCAAUGUAAAUAAGAGGUUCAUCAGAGUUGUGCAGCGAUGCAUUACUAUAUGUGUGAAGACAUAUAGCAGGGAGUAUAAUAUCUUAUAGAGUCAAAGCAAUAAGAUAAGCAUGAGACAUAGAAAGACACUGUCAACUGACAAUUCCAACAGCCUUCACCCAUCCUCGCGCCAAGCCAGACCUGCACAUUUAGAAAUAUAUGCAGGGCUGAGUACCAAAAAGCACUCAGUGGACACAUGCCGGAAAUAAUUUAAAUCUUGCUCUUAGAGCUAUAUGUCAAUCUUGCCCUUUUCAAUGCAUCAACAGGAUUUAACUGAGAUUAAAAAUACCUGUUCACGUUUUUCUGUCAUAAACUCAUUUGCAUCAUCAUAAUAAUUAGUCUGCAGACAUUAUAUUCACGGUAUGUGCCAACUAUGAGAACUCAUAUACAUAUAUAUACUAGGUGAAGAGAAGGAGGCCUCCUUCAAAUCACCGUGACCGGCCGACUAGAGACGGCUCACGAUCACCUCUGCGCACAAAACCUUUACUGUCAUCUAGAUCAGUCAAAGGCCGAUAUCUUGCAUCAUGAUCAUAAUCAUGUCUUUCAUAGAGGCAACAUACCAUAUCUCAUUCUCAUCAAUAAUAUAUAUAUGGCAAGAUGACAAUUUUCAUAAUAUGCAUCAAUAAUGCUUCAACAUGCUUCAUUUUCAUAGUACUCAUCAAUAAUGCUUCAUCAUGCUUUAUUUUCAUAAUACUUUGCAUUUGAACUCAUUAUUAUGGUAGCUUGCCAUAAUAGAGUUAGAAUAAAGCCCACCUGUCUCAGGAGUCGAUGACGUAACGCUCGGGGUCGUACUAACGCCGGCCGUCACUCGAACCUU
rnacentral:lncRNA from 1 species